AGCGUUAUCCGGAAUCACUGGGUUUAAAGGGUGCGUAGGCGGCGCUAUAAGUCAGAGGUGAAAGGCCACCGCUUAACGGUGGGACUGCCUUUGAUACUGUAGUGCUUGAAUCAGGUUGAGGUAGGCGGAAUGUGACAUGUAGCGGUGAAAUGCUUAGAUAUGUCAUAGAACACCAAUUGCGAAGGCAGCUUGCUAGACCUUGAUUGACGCUGAGGCACGAAAGCGUGGGGAGCGAACAGG
rnacentral:rRNA from 1 species